CGAGGGCCCAGCGUCCUCUGCGCGUUGCCCGGGUUUCAGCUCGCCGCCGGAGAGCCGGACAGUGAGGUGGUGCUGUGGGUCCGGGCUACAGUUCAGCUGGCUGCACUGAGGCCCAGGACCGUGGGCAUAGGCGUCCCCAGCUGGAGGCAGCUCCGACGCCGGCCAAGCCUCAGGCGGCAGGGGUGCGGGCCGCUGCCAGGAUGGCGUGCGAGGUCCCUCGAAGCCCGGCCUGGCUCCCGUGGACCCUCUGCGCCGCGCUUUCUUGCCCUUUCCCACACAGAGGCGGGCAGCAGCUCCCGGGGCUGCCUGGGGGCGCACAGGGAGGGCGCAGGCCUCGCCACCCGCCGCCGCCUCCGUGGUCCGCCUCUCUGCAAGCAGACGGCAGGACGGGCGCCUUCUUCCGGAAGCUGGGAACUGAGGGAAGUCCUCCGAGCGCCCGGUGCCGGGAGAUUCGCCGUGCCUGCGGUCACCCGGAGCGGGCCCGUGGUGCUGGCGCUUUCCAGCUGCCUGUGGUGGCGAGCCCGAGGCGGGGGAGGGCGAGGCCAGGAGGCGACAGAGCCCGGUGUGUGCCCAGGGCGGCCUGCUUGGCCGCUGGUGAGGGGAUUCGGGAAGUGUCUCUCUCCUCACUGGUGCCACCCGCCGCCUGCCCCUGGGGCUGGCUCUCGUUUCUGCCUGGGGCAGGACCUGACAGGUGCGAAGCUCUGGACGGAGGAGGUGCCUGGUUUCCUGGAGGUGGCAGGGCCGCAGGCGGUUAUGCCAAGAGGCGCAGAUAGGUGGAUGGGCCUAGGGGAACCUUCCAAGGACUUUUCCAGAUCAGGGGACCAGAAGACGGGCGUGGGUUGGGGAGGCGGGGCUCAGGAGGAGUCCCUAGAGGCUCAGGGGGAGGUCUCCGUCGUUGCCAGGUACCUGAGGGGUCGCAAAGAGUUGAACACGACUGAGCAAGUGAACUGAACUGAGGACCAGACGGCAGCUUCUCUGGCGUGCAGGGUGGCUGGCUGCCUCUGCGGUGGGCCCUGAGGCCCAAGAAGAAGGAGGGGCUGUCUCUGUAGACACUGCCUUUGCCCGGGCAACAGCUUGAGAUAGGCAAAGCUCGUGUCUUCCUCGUGGAAGGGGCUGCAGAUCGUCAAGUCCCUUAAUAAGCCCAUCUGAGGCGGUCUGAAGUGUUACCAAAGAAGACGGGGAGGGGUGACCGUGUGAUCAGGGUGCUUCUACUCUCAACCAGGUGGUCCAUGCCGUGCAAAGAUAGGGGAAGAACACCUUCCAGGUUCAGCAGGUACGGAGGAAGCCCUAAGGUGGGAGUGUGGUGGGGAGCAAGGUGAGCAGGAAGGGACCACGGGGAGAGAUGCGGGGUCCAGUCACUCGGCCACUGUAGGCAGAGCUGGGAUUGGUGUGGCCGUUUCUGUGUGGCCUCCGUGAGUACACCGGGGCCCGCGCUCUGUGCUAGAUCCUGUCUUAAGGCCUCCCUUUCUCCCACCAUGAAGAGCCAUGCUCUCUACGCUCCAUUCUCCUGGUUGCUGCCGGAAAAAGCCGGUCACAGGCGCCUGUUGGGAGAGGGAGAGCUGGGCUUUCCUGGUGUACUGGUGGGGUGCUAAAGGUUUCAGGCCCUGCAGUUUUCCCAAGGCCUUGAUGUCUUUAUCAGGGCCUUUGUAGUCACAUUUAUAAACUCUUGUUGGAAAAUGGAGCCUUUAUUUUUAGCUUGCCCAGAUGGCAGGCGCCAAGGCCGCGGGGAGGCAGCUGCUGCUCCCUGCCUUUGGUUUCUGUGAAGCUUCAAAGUGGUGGGGCCUGUUUGACUCCUUUUCAAACUCAUUGUGUGGCUUCUUGACUCCUUAUCUCAUCUUUCGUUCAGCUGGCUUUCUUCUCUGCCACUGAGGAGGUUGUGAGGGGGAGGGAGGGACUGCCCCAGUUCUCACUGCAGAAGGGGGCUGCAGAGGGUGGAAGACACUCUGUCGUGGGGGUCAGAUGCUGGUCAGCCAGGAACCUGCAGUUGCAAGCUGCAGAAGGUGGCGUGGACUGACAGGGGCCGCAGAAGAGCACACUGGGAAGAGCUGUGGUAGCUCAGGCCAGGGGCAGGAGAGUUUCACGGGAGGAUGGCCGGGUCGCUUCCUGGGUAGGACUCAGUCUCCAGCUGCUGGACUCCACUGGACAUGGCCUCUGAUUUCUCUGAGCUUCCGUCUCCAGCUGGGUAAAGGAGAUAACCAGCUUUGCAAUACUCAUCUUGUGCGAUUCUGGUGGAAAUUAAGCCAGGUGUUACCCAUCUCUAAGCCAGGGGUCAUUUUACGAAUAUCAUGUCUGUGAAAACCUGGGAUCCUGAGGUCCAGGCUUCCCUGAUUCUAGCCGAGGGAAUGAGGGAGCCAGAUUCCCUUUGAGUUAAAUGUCCCUUUUUCAUGACCCCAAGCGAUUCAGCUGGGAGGAGCCCCCACUUCGCCGAGCCUCCUGAGCCGCUGGCCCUUCACAGAGGCAUUUGGAGGGGAGCAGAGUGAUGUGUCCUUGUCGUCAGGGGUGGCUCCUGGCACCAGCAGUGCUCCUUGGGUUCUUUCCUACAGCUGGCCUUGGCUGAGGAAGCUCUAGCGCACCUCCUGUGCUCACUGUGGACCUUGAUGAGACUUAGUCUCCUCAUCUGUGGAAUGGGGCUGUUUGUUCCCAUCUCAGUGCUGUGAGACACUCGGUGCAUGCAGUGCUCUGAGUGGUCCCUGGCACAGAGAGAGUGACGGUAGUUUCCAGGUGGCUGCGCUACACUCCCUCUCAGGAUCGUGCCUGGAGAUCACUGAUUUCUGCCUUGUGCUUUGUUUCCAGGACUGUGUUCCCCUCCUGCUCUCUUGAGUUGUGGGGUUUGAAGAACACACUGAAUUCUGUUUAAGCCCCUUGGCACGGAAGACUCUGAGUGGGUGGUGGCAGGAGGACUUGAGGUGUCGGGGCAUCGGGACAGGUUGCAAACUGCCAGGUACAGGAGUCCAAGAACACCUCCAGCAGAGGCCACAGUGGUGUGUGCAGUAUCGCCGCCUAAGAAACCUGGCCGCCAUCCCCGACCACCCCCUUCAGAGUCUCAGAUGUGGGCUACAUCUGUGGAUUGAGAUGAAAAAUCUGCAUAUCUGGUGGGCCUUGGCCUGGUAAUAGCACCGCUGAUGAUCUUAUCAGGUGAAAAAGCCCAGACACGGGGCAGAAGAACCCAGAGACGUGCUGUGGACCUAGCACGCGGCAUCUGCCUUGCCUCUGGGAGGGUCUGGCCGGCUUGCCGAGGGUCCCUGAAGAUGAGGCUGCUGCUGCUCUGACCUGGUGGAAGCGCCCUGCGGACUUCCACUCAUGCUGGGAUUAAUCUAGUUCCAGGCGGGGCGGUGGUUCCUGACACGCUUUGUACACCUCAGACCCAUCUUCCAAGAUGACUGAGGCUGUGCGGGGGAGCUUAACAUUUUAACUGAGGAAGUGGAGACCAUGGCCUUGAGAAUAGUCUGAUGACUUCUCACAGUUUUAAAAAAACAGACUGUGUGUUGGUUGCCAUGCCUGUAGCUUACAAAAAAUUCUGUGUUCUUACAGAACUUACAAAAAGUUCUGUGAUGAGUGGCUUCAGUCAUUAAAAACAAGCAUUUUUAUUUUUAACAAAAUGUGGAGAUGAUGGAGGUGCUGCUGACUGGAUAAGCAUUACCAACAAGGACCACUGGGGGGCGACACAACACGGGGAAAUAGGUCUCACAGAUGUCGUUUUCUUUUCCUUGCAAAUUCUCAACCAUGUUUUUGUAUUUUUAACUAAAUGAAAAUACUGAAAAUAGUAUAGCAGAGAGCACUUUUAAUGGAAAAUUAAUUGAUAACACAGUCUUAUUUCAAUUUUCUGUUUAUUUUUAACUUAAAUGACUGUGUAUAUUCCACAGUCUUACGAUGAGAAAGGCUCUAGAGUCAUGUCCAGGUCUUCUCAACAUUUCAUUUCUUGAGUCGUUUUUUCGCUUUUCUUUGUGCAUUGAUAGGGGCUUCUCAGUUCAGAAACCAAGGCACUAGAACUAUUUUAUCAGCUACAUUAAUACAUUGAAGGUGUAUUUACCCUCUCAUUAAAUAUACAGCAUUUGAAUACAAUGUGGUUUUAUGCAGAUCAGGUUCAAAACACCCAAGGCACACACUUUACUUUUUUUCCUCUUUUUUGUUUCUGUAUUUAUUUGAAGGCUCAUAGUAAAAUUUCAGAAUUUCUAUAAACAAAGAGUUCCAGAGAAGCAAUGGACAAUGAUUGUUGUAAUUUUAAACAUAAUGCGGUAAAGACUGAACUGCAGAAACAUGUUACAGGAACAGGAAAGAAACAAAAGCACUGGUACAGCGUGGGUUAAAAACAAGUGAUCGGAUCCGCUGAAGUCUGAGAAGCCGGUCUGGAAUCGCCCAUCUGCCCACAAAGCCGGGGCAGGCCCAUCUGCACGCGGCUGCCUGGGCACGUGGCGGCCGUGGGACUGAAGCCUUGUUGCGUGUGUACACGGAUCGCUACAAAUACACGAGACGUCCCAGUUUACUGGUUAUUAAAAUGCCUCAGGUAAAGUACAAAUAAACGGAAAAAGUCUUCCAGUAUCUAUUUUUUCCUUAACAAGACAGACGGAUACAUUUAUCUGGAAGAAGCCAUUGGACAGUGGGGCUGGGGGGCGGUGAAGAUCUGAGAGGAACCACUGGAUGGUGUAGCAGGUGGACCUCGGGGAGCGUAAACUACAGAAGAUUCACCGAGGCUGAGAAUUUGGCAUUGACAUAGAAAUGGUGGCUGCUGUUCAAGGGGAGAAUGUGCCAGAGCAGAAGAAACUGCUCCAGAACUAAAGACCGUGAGUUUUCACUGAUGAGACCUAAGAAGAGGUUCAAUAUUUAAAAUAUGCUUCCCUACAGUGGAAGGAAUAGCCCAUGUCUUCUUGGCUCAGUUCUCUGACGGAAGACACGUUCUCUUGCCCCAAGCCUUAGUGCACACUUGUUCAUAAAAAUCUGGUUGGCUCUGCGUCAGCCAGAGAGGCUGCCCAGCCUGCGUGCCCGGCAGCAAGGAGACAGCCAGCUGUGGGUGUGCGCGAUCCUCUGCUCUGAGGAGCAAGGUCUGCACCUGGCUCUCCCGCCACGCCCUUCUGCAUCCAUCUCAGACAGGAGAGCCGGGCCUCGGCUCCCUCACAGCAGUGUUCACAGACGUCCGUGGUGCUGCUCUCGUGGUUCUAAAAUAAUGCUCGUUUCCACCUGUACAGUGAGAAAACUUGCAGGAGAUGGAACCAAGGCAGAGGAGCUCACUGAAAGGAUUUUCACUCUUUGGGCAGAUAUUAUCUGGUCAGUUUCAUAGAGGUCAAGUGGCUGGAUUGUAAGCUUGGCAACUUUUUAAUUCAGGAAGGUCUCACUGUUUGCAAUCAGAACCACAACCUUAGUGCAAUAGUAUAUUUAUUUUUUCUUUUUACAGUAAUUUUGGUUGCCAUACAAGAGAUGUUAAGAAUUGGGAGAAAGUGCAAAUUACAGGAGCUUGUUUUUAUGUUUUUAAUAAGGUCUAAAAAGAAUAAAAGCACAAAAGUAACAGAAACAUAGAUAAUGCGAACACAUGUUACACAAACUAUAGUGUGAAACAUACUAGUUUCUAAAAAAACGAAAAUUUUGUUAAUGGGAAAAACCAGUAUUUGUGGUCCACACAGUCAUUGCCCGAUCACCCUGGGUAAUGCUUGCUUGUUAAAUAACUCGAAAAAAAUCACCAUUUUAUUAACUAAAGUAUCACAAAUGAUUCACUUUGUGAUAUGUAAAGUUCAGCAAAUCAACAGUCACGUUGAGUCAUUUUUAUAUUAUGGAUUAACUUAAAAUGUGCAGACACCCUGGAGAAGGUAUCUUGGCAGGUAUACAUAAUUUACAUCUUGAGCAAUUUUGGUUUUGUAUACACAAUAUUACAGAAACUAGGCAUGUAAAUGCAAUUUAUUUAAAUUACAGUAUAUAACAAAAGUGGAUCUUUUUAAAACCUGGAAUAAGUAUUAACAUAAUCUUUAUAUGAGCAGUUUAACAUCUGUUUCACCGUUGAAGAGGGGCGUGGGGUAGGGCCUGGUCCUGACGUGUUUCAAGGGGGAGAACAGUGGGCGGUGGGUCAAAUGAGGAACUAUUGCUUUCUGUAGCAAAUCCGGUGGAGAGAGCUAGAGACCGAUUCAUCUUGGCAAGUGUUUUGUUGAUCAGUGCAGGUUCUGAUGGGUCCUGUUACUUCUCUAUAGUGAGAGUGUGAACCACCAACGCGGUCAGCUUUGCUUGCUUCUGGUCAGUUGCAUGUGACUCGGAAGUCUCUCUAAGGGAGUAGCAGCCGAGCCUCACCUCCUGGCUGCCCACGUCCAGCCAACCCCAACGCCCCACGCUGCCGUUGGGUACCAUCUGCCCGAGGCUCCUUUCACUCUCAUCCUGUCUAGCGUGUUGCCUGGCACUGAGCAGAGAGGUGAGACCGGCAAAGGAGAAACGAGCCGUGGUGGGGCGCUGUGCUUACUGGGUUUCGCAUCACCACCAGAGGGAAGACAGAUAAGGGCCAAGUCACCAUCUUAUGCUUUCCGAACUGUCAGCAGCCUUAGCAGGCCACCCGUAGUAUCUUGGCUUGAAACUUCUCUGGGAUUAUAUUCAUCUCAUGAUGGAAAAAUCGAAAGUACAUGGAAGUAAAACACCUUAAUAUUAAAUUGACUUCAUUCAAAUACCAAGAUUGACCUGCAACAGGUUUUGGAACAGAAGGCCCCAAACUCAAUUUCCAAUUCAGGGACAUGGGGCUGGAAAAACUCUGUGUGUGGUGACUGUGUGUGUUUUUGCAGAAAACUGCUGCAUCAUGAAUUACAACCACUUUUGAAGAAAUAAUUGUCCUUCGACGUUGAAGUUCUAGCAAAGAUAGAAAAUAUAGCACAGCUCUGCUGGUUCCGAUGCAUCCAAUAAGGUUGAUUUAAAAAGGUCGUACUUUUAUAAUUAUUCCACAGAAAUAGUAGUAUUAAAUCACAAAAGUUUGUUUUUCUUUAACUUUCUAGCACUGAAGUGGCACAAAGGCUGCCUAGUAGACCAGCCACUUUUUUUUCCCUUAAAAUAUUGUGCUUAUAAACUAUCUGUACAACUAUUUAAACUUGCAGUAAAGAAAGAUUUUAAAUUGCUAAAUUUUACGUGUUCAUUCUAGAGCUGUUCCAGACCUAAUCAGACACUUGAUUGUGAGCAUAAAGAAAAAAAGGAAAAAAAAAUUAUGUUUUUAUAAUUAGAGAUGGGCUAGGCUAGUUCUGAAAUCAUAAUAAAAGCCAAAAACUUGACAUUCUUCCAUAUGUGGGAGGACGUGCUGA
ensembl:lncRNA